UGUUUUGUGACUUAGUUGGUUUAAAAGCGCCAGUCCAGCAAAUACGGAGUCGUGGGUUCAAAUCCCACCAGAACGC
rnacentral:tRNA from 1 species